rnacentral:rRNA from 1 species
UCCGGAAUUAUUGGGCAUAAAGGGCAUUUAGGCGGCCGGAUAAGUCUGGGGUGAAAACCUGCGGCUCAACCGCAAGCCUGCCCUGGAAACUAUGCGGCUAGAGUACUGGAGAGGUGGACGGAACUGCACGAGUAGAGGUGAAAUUCGUAGAUAUGUGCAGGAAUGCCGAUGAUGAAGAUAGUUCACUGGACGGUAACUGACGCUGAAGUGCGAAAGCUAGGGGAGCAAACAGGAUUAGAUACCCUGGUAGUCCUAGCUGUAAACGAUGAUUACUGGGUGUGGGCAUGAAGAGUGUCCGUGCCGAAGCUAAUGCGAUAAGUAACCCGCCUGGGGAGUACGGCCGCAAGGCUAAAACUCAAAGGAAUUGACGGGGGCCCGCACAAG